rnacentral:rRNA from 1 species
UAGGGAAUCUUCCACAAUGGACGAAAGUCUGAUGGAGCAACGCCGCGUGAGUGAAGAAGGCUUUAGGGUCGUAAAACUCUGUUGUUGGAGAAGAACGUGUGUGAGAGUAACUGUUCACGCAGUGACGGUAUCCAACCAGAAAGCCACGGCUAACUACGUGCCAGCAGCCGCGGUAAUACGUAGGUGGCAAGCGUUGUCCGGAUUUAUUGGGCGUAAAGCGAGCGCAGGCGGUUUCUUAAGUCUGAUGUGAAAGCCUUCGGCUUAACCGGAGAAGUGCAUCGGAAACUGGGAGACUUGAGUGCAGAAGAGGACAGUGGAACUCCAUGUGUAGCGGUGAAAUGCGUAGAUAUAUGGAAGAACACCAGUGGCGAAGGCGGCUGUCUGGUCUGUAACUGACGCUGAGGCUCGAAAGCAUGGGUAGCGAACA